CCCACCUGCCCCUCUCCCACCUGCCCCUGCCUGGCCCUGGUCUGCGCCCUCCUGUGCUCCCCAGACCUUAGAGAAUAUUUAACCACCUGUUAAAUGAUUUAUCCCAUCGAGGCUCCAGAGCUCAGGGCAUCUCACGGGCCUCCUCGAGAAUUAACUAGAGCUAUAAAUCAAAGCGACAUGUGAGAAAUUUCAGCUGCCUCAGACAGCAGGCAGCAGCGCCCGGAUGGGAAAAUGGCAUUUAGAAGGGAGAGGCAUGCAUGGCUCAGCCCAGAGCUGCCCAGACUAGCUCAGAAGGGGAUUGGGGAGGCGGGCCAAGGACGCUGGACCUUCAGAGUGCUGUCAGGGGCCCAGUACGUCUGUGUUCUUUGGGUCUGUCUGAGGCAGGUGGCAGCCUAGGUCUUCUACAGCAGGCGAAGCGCCAGACCACCUGUGGCUUCACCGACUAGGGAACAGCUCAAGGGACAGCGAAUCCUGGCCGUGUUCUACUGGCCGUUGGACCAUGAGGACCCAUCAUAGGAAACAAGCCCAGAGAAGGGCAUGAGCCAGAUAGAUUCCAGGGACCCAGAUAGAUGCGCUCAGCUCAUCUCCCGCCAGACGGUCUGUCACUGAAGAAAGGUGACACAGGAGGUGCAGCCACAGCCACCAGAAGCCACCCAUGCCGAGUGAAAAGUGGACUUUUCUACGGGUGGAUGGUCCAUAAGUCUCCCACCUAGAAAAACUUCAUGUGGAUCUUCUAAUCUCCCACAAUCCAUUAAAUUUUUGUUCCCACCAA